rnacentral:rRNA from 1 species
GACGUAGGAGGCGAGCGUUGUCCGGAUUCAUUGGGCGUAAAGAGCGCGCAGGCGGCUUGGUAAGUCGGAUGUGAAAUCCCGAGGCUCAACCUCGGGUCUGCAUCCGAUACUGCCCGGCUAGAGGUAGGUAGGGGAGAUCGGAAUUCCUGGUGUAGCGGUGAAAUGCGCAGAUAUCAGGAGGAACACCGGUGGCGAAGGCGGCUCUCUGGGCCUUACCUGACGCUGAGGAGCGAAAGCGUGGGUAGCGAACAGG